rnacentral:tRNA from 1 species
GCGAUCGUGGUGGAAUUGGUAGACACGCCAGUUUGAGGGACUGGUGCCGCAAGGCGUGGAGGUUCAAGUCCUCUCGAUCGCACCA